GUGACUAUGGCUCAGUGAGAAGAGCGCUUGUCUUGCAAUCUGAGGGUUGUGGGUUUGAUUCCAGCUUCCCCCUGCCACA